GAAGGAGCUUGCUCCUGGAUUCAGCGGCGGACGGGUGAGUAAUGCCUAGGAAUCUGCCUGGUAGUGGGGGACAACGUUUCGAAAGGAACGCUAAUACCGCAUACGUCCUACGGGAGAAAGCAGGGGACCUUCGGGCCUUGCGCUAUCAGAUGAGCCUAGGUCGGAUUAGCUAGUUGGUGAGGUAAUGGCUCACCAAGGCGACGAUCCGUAACUGGUCUGAGAGGAUGAUCAGUCACACUGGAACUGAGACACGGUCCAGACUCCUACGGGAGGCAGCAGUGGGGAAUAUUGGACAAUGGGCGAAAGCCUGAUCCAGCCAUGCCGCGUGUGUGAAGAAGGUCUUCGGAUUGUAAAGCACUUUAAGUUGGGAGGAAGGGUUGUAGAUUAAUACUCUGCAAUUUUGACGUUACCGACAGAAUAAGCACCGGCUAACUCUGUGCCAGCAGCCGCGGUAAUACAGAGGGUGCAAGCGUUAAUCGGAAUUACUGGGCGUAAAGCGCGCGUAGGUGGUUUGUUAAGUUGGAUGUGAAAUCCCCGGGCUCAACCUGGGAACUGCAUCCAAAACUGGCAAGCUAGAGUAUGGUAGAGGGUGGUGGAAUUUCCUGUGUAGCGGNAGAAUUUCCUGUGUAGCGG
rnacentral:rRNA from 1 species